AUACAUGCAAGUCGAGCGGAUUGAUGGGAGCUUGCUCCCUGAUAUCAGCGGCGGGGACGGGGUGAGUAACACGUGGGUAACCUGCCUGUAAGACUGGGAUAACUCCGGGAAACCGGGGCUAAUACCGGAUAACUCAUUUCCUCGCAUGAGGAAAUGUUGAAAGGUGGCUUUUAGCUACCACUUACAAGAUUGGACCCGCGGGCAUUAGCUAGUUGGUGAGGUAACGGCUCACCAAGGCAACGAUGCGUAGCCGACCUGAGAGGGUGAUCGGCCACACUGGGACUGAGACACGGCCCAGACUCCUACGGGAGGCAGCAGUAGGGAAUCUUCCGCAAUGGACGAAAGUCUGACGGAGCAACGCCGGUGANCUGAUGAAGGUUUCGGAUCGUAAAGCUCUGUUGUUAGGGAAGAACAAGUGCCGUCUCGAAUAGGGCGGCACCUUGACGGUACCUAACCAGAAAGCCACGGCUAACUACGUGCCAGCAGCCGCGGUAAAUACGUAGGUGGCAAGCGUUGUCCGGAAUAAUUGGGCGUAAAGCGCCGCGCAGGUGGU
rnacentral:rRNA from 2 species